rnacentral:rRNA from 1 species
GGGUGCUAACGUCCGUCGUGAAGAGGGAAACAACCCAGACCGCCAGCUAAGGUCCCAAAGUCAUGGUUAAGUGGGAAACGAUGUGGGAAGGCCCAGACAGCCAGGAUGUUGGCUUAGAAGCAGCCAUCAUUUAAAGAAAGCGUAAUAGCUCACUGGUCGAGUCGGCCUGCGCGGAAGAUGUAACGGGGCUAAACCAUGCACCGAAGCUGCGGCAGCGACGCUGAUGCGUUGUUGGGUAGGGGAGCGUUCUGUAAGCCUGCGAAGGUGUGCUGUGAGGCAUGCUGGAGGUAUCAGAAGUGCGAAUGCUGACAUAAGUAACGAUAAAGCGGGUGAAAAGCCCGCUCGCCGGAAGACCAAGGGUUCCUGUCCAACGUUAAUCGGGGCAGGGUGAGUCGACCCCUAAGGCGAGGCCGAAAGGCGUAGUCGAUGGGAAACAGGUUAAUAUUCCUGUGCUUGGUGUUACUGCGAAGGGGGGACGGAGAAGGCUAUGUUGGCCGGGCGACGGUUGUCCCGGUUUAAGCGUGUAGGCUGGUUUUCCAGGCAAAUCCGGAAAAUCAAGGCUGAGGCGUGAUGACGAGGCACUACGGUGCUGAAGCAACAAAUGCCCUGCUUCCAGGAAAAGCCUCUAAGCAUCAGGUAACAUCAAAUCGUACCCCAAACCGACACAGGUGGUCAGGUAGAGAAUACCAAGGCGCUUGAGAGAACUCGGGUGAAGGAACUAGGCAAAAUGGUGCCGUAACUUCGGGAGAAGGCACGCUGAUAUGUAGGUGAAGUCCCUCGCGGAUGGAGCUGAAAUCAGUCGAAGAUACCAGCUGGCUGCAACUGUUUAUUAAAAACACAGCACUGUGCAAACACGAAAGUGGACGUAUACGGUGUGACGCCUGCCCGGUGCCGGAAGGUUAAUUGAUGGGGUCAGCGCAAGCGAAGCUCUUGAUCGAAGCCCCGGUAAACGGCGGCCGUAACUAUAACGGUCCUAAGGUAGCGAAAUUCCUUGUCGGGUAAGUUCCGACCUGCACGAAUGGCGUAAUGAUGGCCAGGCUGUCUCCACCCGAGACUCAGUGAAAUUGAACUCGCUGUGAAGAUGCAGUGUACCCGCGGCAAGACGGAAAGACCCCGUGAACCUUUACUAUAGCUUGACACUGAACAUUGAGCCUUGAUGUGUAGGAUAGGUGGGAGGCUUUGAAGUGUGGACGCCAGUCUGCAUGGAGCCGACCUUGAAAUACCACCCUUUAAUGUUU